AAUAAAAUAUAAAACACGUGAAUGUCUUUAGUCAUUUCCUCCCUUCACCUCCUCACAUUUUAUAUGUCAGUUUUCAUUGUUUAUGUUGUGACUGAAAUUUGUGUAAUGCUAUUUUGUGUAAUAAAUGGCUAAGCCUGUAAAGAUUAAUUUUUAUAAAAUAUUUUUUUUAUAAACUGAAUUUCGGGGAACUCCGGAUGUUGCUUGAGAUACCUCUAAUCAAAUCAAGUUAAUUCUUGCCAAGUUAGGAUGGAGCGUAUGAAUAAUCUAAAUAAAAUUGCUGAAAAAGAGAAUUUCAGAGAAGAUGGUACUAGCUCUGUCAUGUCAGAUACUGAUGAAGACCCAUCUUUACGAACGUAUUUAACAUUCCGAGAACAACUCCGCCACAUCUUAGAAUCGCAUAAAUUUCAGAUAGGGAUCAUUGCGUUAGUUUUACUUGACAGUUUAAUCGUCAUUACUGAAUUGAUAUUAGAGGGAAGGCAUGAUGAAUUACACAGCAAUAUUCCACAUGCUUUACAUUACAUGAGUAUUACCAUAUUAAGUAUCUUCAUCAUUGAAAUUUUAAUUAAAGUGUACGCUUUUGGUCUGGAGUUUUUUCGUCAUAAACUUGAAAUUUUUGAUGCAUGCAUGGUGUUCCUAUCAUUUGGUCUUGACCUUACGUUUUGGAAUCAAACUGGAGUAACUUUGAUAAUUGUUCUUCGUCUUUGGAGAAUUGUUCGAAUUUUGAAUGGUAUAAUAAUGUCUGUUAAAAUAGAAUCUGACCAUAAACUUUCCAAAGAAAGACAAUUAAAAGAAGGUGUUGAACAAGAACUUACAAAAUGCCGUCUCUAUUCAAAUGCUUUGGAACAGGAAGUUGAAACUCUAAGGUCUCUUCUCAAGAAACAUGGAAUAAAAGAAGUGCCUCCAUCUGUUGUCUCUGACUUUGAACAAAAUACUAUUAGUGUUGUUGCUGAAGUAAACCAAAUAUUACCUGUUUGAAGUAAUUUCUAUAAAGUAUUCUCUCAACAUUGAAGUAAUAGAAUUUCAUGAGUCUUACUAAUCUGUUAAUUUAUGCCUCAAGUUAUGGAAUUCAGGAUGCUGUUGAUGUAUUCAAGUUGAUUGUUUAGCAGAAGUUAUAUCUGCAAUCAAAUCGAAAAAUAUCGACAAUCUACUGAUUAUAUAUAUA
rnacentral:misc_RNA from 1 species